GGUGGCUUUCUGCUGCUGGAGGAUGAAAAUACACCCAGGGCAGGGCUAUGAGGUGGCAGUGACAGCCAUCCCCAUGGUGGUUCCUGCUGCUGGCAAUGAGAUGUUGCCACCCAGCACCUUCCCCGUGGGCUGAGCACCCAGCACCAGGCACCUGGAUGCAGCCACCAGGCUGGAGGGUGCUGGGGGCUGGGAUGGAAAGGCAGAGACAUCCCUGAGGGCUGGAAGCAGAGCACGUCCUGGUCCUCAGCUGCCCAUGGAGCAUCCUCACCCCAGGGACACCUGGAUGCUCCUUCUCAGCCUGGAGAAGUGAUUCUCAUGGAUGAAAUGGCUCCAGCACUCAAAGCUGCUCACCAGUGAGCCCCAGUCACAGUCAUGGGGGGACAGCACCAGGGAUGGAGCUCGGAUGCAGCUCAAGGACCUUUCAGAGGCUUUUUUGGUGCUGACCCCAGGUUCCUGCCAGCUCCCAAGCAGGAGGGAUUCCCCUACAGACCCUCCCAAAGACCAAAAGGUGAUCACACCCCCUUGGAAAUAUUUUCCUGGGAGUGUUUUCCAUCCAUCAUCAGUUGUGAUCCACUCCUUUCUCCCUUGCCACGAAGAGGCAGCUUUAGCCUGACACCAUUUGAUGUAUAAAUCUGUAAAUGUUGUACAUAAAAGAA